AUUGAACGCUGGCGGCAUGCCUUACACAUGCAAGUCGAACGGCAGCACGGGUGCUUGCACCUGGCGGCGAGUGGCGAACGGGUGAGUAAUGUAUCGGAACGUGCCCAGUAGCGGGGGAUAACUACUCGAAAGAGUAGCUAAUACCGCAUACGCCCUACGGGGGAAAGGGGGGGAUCGCAAGACCUCUCACUAUUGGAGCGGCCGAUAUCGGAUUAGCUAGUGGGUGAGGUAAAGGCUCACCAAGGCGACGAUCCGUAGCUGGUUUGAGAGGACGACCAGCCACACUGGGACUGAGACACGGCCCAGACUCCUACGGGAGGCAGCAGUGGGGAAUUUUGGACAAUGGGGGAAACCCUGAUCCAGCCAUUCCGCGUGUGCGAUGAAGGCCUACGGGUUGUAAAGCACUUUUGGCAGGAAAGAAAUCGCAUCAAUUAAUACUUGGUGUGGAUGACGGUACCUGCAGAAUAAGCACCGGCUAACUACGUGCCAGCAGCCGCCGUAA
rnacentral:rRNA from 1 species